rnacentral:tmRNA from 1 species
GCCCUUUUCAUUUGGGCCGGGCGCACCUAUAUACGGCUCUGCCGGGUUCGCCCGGCUAUGGCGAUAAAUUGCGGCGUGCAAUAGGCGCAGCGGACCCGGGGGCGGUACCCGGCGGCUCCACCAUCACCAUCCCGCAUCCGCGGGGCUCUGUUGUCGCAGAGGUGUUGAUGGGGCCGAACUAGGAUCGACGUGUGUUGAAAAGCGCUGUUUUCGUCCGGGCUGAGUAACCCGUUAAAGGCUCAAAACGCACAAGUGCCAACGACAACGAAGCACUUGCUCUCGCCGCGUAAUUCUAGGGGCUAACGCCCUGAAGUUAUAAAGCGAAAGCACGGUUCGGACCGAACCGGGUAACAGAAUCGGAAACC